rnacentral:rRNA from 1 species
AUUGAACGCUGGCGGCAUGCCUUACACAUGCAAGUCGAACGGCAGCACGGGGGCAACCCUGGUGGCGAGUGGCGAACGGGUGAGUAAUACAUCGGAACGUGCCCGGUAGUGGGGGAUAGCUCGGCGAAAGCCGGAUUAAUACCGCAUACGACCCACGGGUGAAAGCGGGGGAUCGCAAGACCUUGCGCUAGCGGAGCGGCCGAUGUCAGAUUAGGUUGUUGGUGGGGUAAAGGCCACCAAGCCGACGAUCUGUAGCUGGUCUGAGAGGACGACCAGCCACACUGGGACUGAGACACGGCCCAGACUCCUACGGGAGGCAGCAGUGGGGAAUUUUGGACAAUGGGCGCAAGCCUGAUCCAGCCAUGCCGCGUGCGGGAAGAAGGCCUCGGU